rnacentral:tRNA from 1 species
UGUCAGCUCAGUUGGUUAGAGCACCCGUUUGGUAAGCGGGAGGUCUUGAGUUUAGCUCUCAACA